AAAGUUUUAAGUUAUCUAAAACUAUUAACCUUCAAAGUUAAAUUAAAAUUUUACAUUUAAACUUUG
rnacentral:tRNA from 1 species